rnacentral:rRNA from 1 species
GAAGACAUAAAUAUUUUUGGUUAACAGUUAAAUUUUUAUUACUUCCAAACUUAAAAUUUUUAGGUGAAAUUUUAAUUUUAUUAUAAGUGGAUAAUGUUGAAGCUGUGAAAUUUAAUUUAAAAACAAGGAUUAGAUACCCUUUUAUUUUAAAUGUAAAUAUUAACCUGGGUAGUAAUAGUUAUGUACUUGAAACCCAAAGAAUUUGGCGGUAUUUUACUCUUUUUAGAGGAACCUGUCCUGUAAUUGAUAGUCCACGAUGAUAAAACACUUUUUCUUGUAAUCAUUUUGUAUACCUCCGUCAUAAGAGUAUCUUUUUAGAGUUAAUAUUCUUUAUAUACAAAAUAUAAAAUGUCAGGUCAAGGUGCAAUUUAUGGGAAAGUAGAGAUGGGUUACAAUAAAUUUAUUUAUACGAAUUACUAUAAUUAUAUUUAGUAUGAAGGUGGAUUUAAAAGUAAUAUUAUUUUCUUAAUAAUCUGAUUCUAGCUKUAAAAUAUGCACACAUCGCCCGUCGCUCUUAUUUUAAAAUAAGAUAAGUCGUAACAUAGUAGAUGUACCGGAAGGUGUAUCUAGUAAGU